AUUGAACGCUGGCGGCAGGCCUAACACAUGCAAGUCGAACGAGUGGCGGACGGGUGAGUAAUGUCUGGGAAACUGCCUGAUGGAGGGGGUUAACUACUGGAAACGGUAGCUAAUCCCGCAUACCAUCAGAUGUGCCCAGAUGGGAUUAGCUAGUUGGUGGGGUAACGGGUCACCAAGGCGACGAUCCCUAGCUGGUCUGAGAGGAUGACCAGGCAAACUGGAACUGAGACACGGUCCAAACUCCUACGGGAGUCAGCAGUGGGGAAGAUUGCACAAUGGGAGCAAGCCUGAGGCAGCCAUGCCGCGUGGAUGAGGAAGGCCUGAGGGUUGUAAAGUACUUUCAGCGGGGAGGCGUUACCCGCAGAAGAAGCACCGGCUAACUCCGUGCCAGCAGCCGCGGUAAUAC
rnacentral:rRNA from 1 species